CGGUGAGUAGCGCAGUUUGGUAGCGCAACUGGUUUGGGACCAGUAGGUCGGAGGUUCAAAUCCUCUCUCACCGA
rnacentral:tRNA from 1 species